UGAGCUCAAAUCAGGUAGGACUACCCGCUGAACUUAA
rnacentral:rRNA from 2 species